AUAUAUCGUGAAGACCCCCCCUAAUCGAUCAUCUUCUGGAGGAGACAAAAACACACAACUCCUCCUUCUUCCUGGACUGAACAGAAGCCUUAAAACGACCUUCAGAUGCCGGACCACCUCCAACACCACUGGCCACUCCCUCGCCACCAACAAUACUAACCGCUAUUCCCUCACCUCCAUUAAUCUCCAUAUGAGCUGUCACUCUAGACCCCAAGCACAGCAGCGACCCCCACCAGCUUCUUCUUCUUCGAACACUUGCCAGAACAGACCACUCCUUCAGUCGUGGCUUCUUCCUCUUCUAGCCUUGAACACCUCUGAACGGAUCCCCACUGUUACCCUCGCCCAAAAGACCCCCUGCUUCUUCAACCUUUGGACACAAGGAAGAGAACGACCUCCUCUCUCCAAUUUUCGACCAGCGUACCUUCCCAUUUCCCGUUUCCGUAGACAGAGAUCGAGAGGAAGUUCUGGACAGAAUCUUAGAAAAUUUCUCUGCUGAUUUUUUUGAUUUCGAUUUGAGUUUCGAAGUGAUGGAAUUCAAAUGAGUGAAGGUGCCGAAUUCGUGGGUGCUCGUUGAAUGCCAUCGGGUUUUGAAGUGUUUGUUUCAGUGCUCAUUUGGUGGAAUACGCUUCUGUUCGUUGAGUUUUAGUUGCCGCCUUCAAGUGUAUUAUUUUACCAACAUCGAAUUGAUUGAAACUCCUUCUUCCAGGUAUGGAUCUACGUACCAGGACUCGAGCAUGACAGAUACCCCAGGACAAUUGCGUUCAGGAGUUACUUGAGGAGACGUUUUAUAUUUUGAGCCUAUUUUUUAAGUCUCUUAGGUGGUUUAAGAGUUUGUCGAGUCUUUCAUUAUCGUACAUUCUAUUUUGUAUUUGAAAGACCAAAAAAUAUAAAUGAAAAAUUCAAAAAGAUUUUUCUUUCUUAA